rnacentral:lncRNA from 1 species
ACAAGUUCAACGAUGUGGUGUGGCAUGUGAGCUGGUCCAUCACAGCCAACAUCCUGGCUGUCUCUGGUGGAGACAAUAAGCAGGCCCUCAAGAGACCCGCAACAGAAAGGAAAGCCACCGACUGGAGAGAACCUGCUUCCUGAGCCCCACCAAGUUCCAAAAAGGAGAAUGGGGCUUCGUCCUCACCCUCAAGGAGUUGCCAAACUGGGCUUGGUUAUUAUUCACACUU